rnacentral:lncRNA from 1 species
GCUCCAGGAGGGAGCACAUUUAUUGUGCAUGCCAUUCAGUUUAGAUUCUACUAGAGCAAAUGAUUACAACAACUCAGAGGAAAAAGCUGGAAAAUAAGUCCCUGAUGUAAAACUGGUCACAGGGCCAAAACGGUAGUGCCAAUUAUGAUUUCAGUGCCUUAUACACAUUACGUCGCCAACAGUCUUUUUAAAAAUAUCUAAUUUAUUUAUUAUUGGCUAGGGUGGGCAUAUUAAACAAUAUUUCUUCUCAAGUAGCCAGUUGUCUUUGCAUUAGAAGUUAAGAUUAAAAGUUUACAUUCACUUGUGUUAAUUUCACUUUUUUUGUUUUUAAAUGAGGAGCAUUAAUGGCAAUAAAUGGGCUAAAGAAAAAGAAUGCCUGGAGGGCUGACACAGCAUGGGUGUGGUCCUGGGGUAUAUAUAGCACUCUCUAUAAUUUUCUAGCUAAUGUUCCUUUCCUUGAUUACAUGGAUUAAAAGCAGCAUGUUAUUAUAUCUGGCAAGCCAA